GACGAACGCUGGCGGCGUGCCUAAUACAUGCAAGUCGAGCGGACUGAUUAAGAGCUUGCUCUUAUGACGUUAGCGGCGGACGGGUGAGUAACACGUGGGCAACCUGCCCUGUAGAUCGGGAUAACACCGAGAAAUCGGUGCUAAUACCGGGUAAUAUCUGAGAUCACAUGAUCUUAGGUUAAAAGAUGGCUCCGGCUAUCACUACAGGAUGGGCCCGCGGCGCAUUAGCUAGUUGGUAAGGUAAUGGCUUACCAAGGCGACGAUGCGUAGCCGACCUGAGAGGGUGAUCGGCCACACUGGGACUGAGACACGGCCCAGACUCCUACGGGAGGCAGCAGUAGGGAAUCUUCCGCAAUGGACGAAAGUCUGACGGAGCAACGCCGCGUGAGUGAUGAAGGGUUCCGGCUCGUAAAGCUCUGUUGUUAGGGAAGAAACAGUACCGAACGAACUAGGUCGGUACCUUGACGGUACCUAACCAGAAAGCCACGGCUAACUACGUG
rnacentral:rRNA from 1 species